rnacentral:rRNA from 1 species
GAUGAACGCUAGCUACAGGCUUAACACAUGCAAGUCGAGGGGAAACGACAUCGAAAGCUUGCUUUUGGUGGGCGUCGACCGGCGCACGGGUGAGUAACGCGUAUCCAACCUGCCCACCACUUGGGGAUAACCUUGCGAAAGUAAGACUAAUACCCAAUGACGUCUCUAGAAGACAUCUGAAAGGGAUUAAAGAUUUAUCGGUGAUGGAUGGGGAUGCGUCUGAUUAGCUUGUUGGCGGGGUAACGGCCCACCAAGGCAACGAUCAGUAGGGGUUCUGAGAGGAAGGUCCCCCACAUUGGAACUGAGACACGGUCCAAACUCCUACGGGAGGCAGCAGUGAGGAAUAUUGGUCAAUGGGCGAGAGCCUGAACCAGCCAAGUAGCGUGCAGGACGACGGCCCUAUGGGUUGUAAACUGCUUUUAUAAGGGAAUAAAGUGAGUCUCGUGAGACUUUUUGCAUGUACCUUAUGAAUAAGGACCGGCUAAUUCCGUG